GACGAACGCUGGCGGCGUGCUUAACACAUGCAAGUCGAACGAAGAGCGAUGGAAGCUUGCUUCUAUCAAUCUUAGUGGCGAACGGGUGAGAAACGCGUAAUCAACCUGCCCUUCAGAGGGGGACAACAGUUGGAAACGACUGCUAAUACCGCAUACGAUCUAAUCUCGGCAUCGAGGAUAGAUGAAAGGUGGCCUCUACAUGUAAGCUAUCACUGAAGGAGGGGAUUGCGUCUGAUUAGCUAGUUGGAGGGGUAACGGCCCACCAAGGCGAUGAUCAGUAGCCGGUCUGAGAGGAUGAACGGCCACAGUGGGACGGAGACACGGCCCAGACUCCUACGGGAGGCAGCAGUGGGGAAUCUUCCGCAAUGGACGCAAGUCUGACGGAGCAACGCCGCGUGAGUGAUGACGGCCUUCGGGUUGUAAAGCUCUGUUAAUCGGGACGAAAGGCCUUCUUGCGAAUAGUGAGAAGGAUUGACGGUACCGGAAUAGAAAGCCACGGCUAACUACGUG
rnacentral:rRNA from 1 species